AACGCUGACAGAAUGCUUAACACAUGCAAGUCUUUGGCAAAUCUGUGCUUGCACAGCCUAGCCAAGGCGGACGGGUGAGUAACGCGUAAAGAACUUACCCUGCAGACAGGGAUAACAGACGGAAACGACUGAUAAUACCUGAUAUAAUUGCCAGCACGCAUGUGCCCGGCAAUGAAAAGUAAUGCUGCAGGAGAGCUUUGCGUCCUAUUAGCUUGUUGGUGAGGUAACGGCUCACCAAGGCGAUGAUAGGUAGCCGGCCUGAGAGGGUGAACGGCCACAAGGGGACUGAGAUACGGCCCUUACUCCUACGGGAGGCAGCAGUGGGGAAUAUUGGACAAUGGGGGCAACCCUGAUCCAGCAAUUCUGUGUGCACGAAGAAGGUUUUCGGAUUGUAAAGUGCUUUCAGCAGGGAAGAAGAAAGUGACGGUACCUGCAGAAGAAGCGACGGCU
rnacentral:rRNA from 1 species